AAAGUUCAAGGGGGCCGAAUACUUUCGCAAGGCACUGUACAUUAUGUAUUGUUAUGCCAUGUAGCAGCAGUAUGGAGGUACAGUGGGGGACAAUUGUUGACACCUUUGAUAAAGAUGAGAUAAACGACUCUAUAAAAUAAAGAAUUCAAAUACUAAGCUAUAUUGUAUGUAAAAAAUAAAGGGAAAUUAAAAUAUUUAAUACUAGUACAAUUGCUCAGAGAAAGAGAUUUAGUUUAACAUGUAAUUCUCAAAAGGAAGGGGUCUGAAUUAUUGCCACCCAUGUUUUCAAUUCUGCAGCACCUUCCCCUUGUGGGGAUAAUGACAUUCAAAUGUUUUAUGAGAUUGGAGAACACAUUGGUGGGAUCUUAGACCAUUCCUCCAAACAUAAUCUCUCCAGGUCCUUGAUUUAUUUAGUAUGUUCUUGUAGACUGCCCUGUUCAAUUCAAACCACAGGUUUUCAAUGGAGUAGAAGUCCGAAGACUGAGAUGGCCAUAGAAAAAUGUUGAUUUUGUGCCCAAUUAAAAAAAUUAUCAUGGAUGUUGAUGUCUUGCUGGAAGAUCCACUUAUGGCCAACUUUCAUUCUACUAGCAGAGAGGUAACCAGGUUUUGGGCUAAAAUAUCCUGGUAAUGGGUAAAGUUAAUUUAUUUUAUACAGUCAUUUUUGCUCAUCUUUAUCAAGGGUAUCAAUAACCAUGUGCUUAUUUUGAUAUCUAGUUAUUUGAGUCAGAAAUAUAGAUGUAGAGUUGGUUUUACAUUUUCAUUAAAAAUCUGAACUAAUAAAACAACACUUGUUGCUCUUUGUACGUGUUGAUAUAAUAUUCAUAUUUAAUGGAGAGGAAAAAACGUUUCCAUAAACUGAUUUAUACUAUUCUAAUUCAACGAAGAAGAAAAAAGUGUUCCCUCCUAAACUGCGUUUCCUCCCUCCAGACAGCAGAUGGCGAUAUGUGUCUUUCAGGCGAUGUUUCUAGUGUAUUACAUAGUCGACGGAACUCUUCUUCAACAACUGCAGCCACAUCGGUAGCUCGCUAGCCAACAAAGUCGGAACAUUCAAGGUCUUUAGACAAUUUCGUGCUUUAUUUGCCACCGAUUUAAACAUACUUAUGUGGAAACAACUAACUACCCCGUUUAAUGUAAUAUUUAUGUUGUAAGUCAACUAGCUGGCCGGUUAAGUUAGCACUAGUCUAGUCGCUAAUGCUAACUGGCUAACAUCCCCGAACAUGAGUUCACUAAGCUACUCUCCUCAUUCUAAAGAAGAGGAGGUCUGCUGGACGGAGAAAGAAGCUCUCGUGAAAGAGGAAGAGGAGGAUGUUACAAUGCAAAAACAAGUAGAGGGUGAGACUUACCGUGAAAGAAGAAGAUCAAGACGUUACAGUCAGACGCCUUCAGGGUGAAAGAGGAGGAGAAUGUUACUGUGAAAGAAAAUGAGGAAGAUGCAGUUUUGGGAGUGGAGGAUGAAGUGAAAGAAGAUGAAGACAUUUUUGGAAUGAAGGCUGAAGAGGGGGAGAUCACUGUCACAUUAGAGGAGGACGAAGAAGAGAGGACUGGAGAUCUGAUUAACAACAGACCUGAGCCCUAGGACCGUGCCUCAGGACUACCUGACAUGAUGACUCCUUGCUGUCCCCAGUCCACCUGGCCGUGCUGCUGCUCCAGUUUCAACUGUUCUGCCUUACUAUUAUUGGACCAUGCUGGUCAUUUAUGAACAUUUGAACAUCUUGGCCAUGUUCUGUUAUAAUCUCCACCCGGCACAACCAGAAGAGGACUGGCCACCCCACAUAGCCUGGUUCCUCUAGGUUUCUUCCUAGGUUUUGUCCUUUCUAGGGAGUUUUUCCUAGCCACCGUGCUUCUACACCUGCAUUGCUUGCUGUUUGGGGUUUUAGGAUGGGUUUCUGUACAGCACUUUGAGAUAUCAGCUGAUGUACGAAGGGCUAUAUAAAUACAUUUAUUUUUGUAUUUUUUAUUAUUAUGAUUAUUUUUAAAAUCUCAUAGCUGUAAUCAAUGUGGGAAGAGAGACACUGGUAAAAGAUCUCUGAUCAAACAUCAGAAAAUACAUGGAGUUGUUUCAUGAUAUCAAUGAAAUAAUGUCACAAUGUAGAGUAUUUUAAUGAUGUCACAAUGUAGAAGCCUAAACGUUUGCCCCCCUGUUCUGUUGAUUUCAGCUAUGGAUUUUAGCCUCAGGGGAAACAUCUAGGCUCUGAAUUGAAAUAGUACUAUUUAUGAGAUUUAACAAAAAGUGACGAACAAAAAAAAGAAUUGUGUUACACCUACCACGUUGGUGACACACUUGAAUCAAAAUGCAACACUUCAAAAUGUAGCUUGCUCUUUUCUACAAAUUGUCCUCUAACCAGGGAUGUACACAUUUUUCCCAGAUUCCGUGUGGUUUUUGAGCUGUUAGUUUUAACAGGACAUGUAACCUCAUCACCCUCCUCUCGCACAAAUUAUUUUAGCAUUAUAUUGAUGAGUUAUGACAAAUUAGUGUUGGGUUCCUUUGUUUAGCGACCCCUACAUUUAAAUGCAUCACUCCAAAAUGUAGCUUACUGUCUUCUGCAGGUUGUCCUCUAAUCAGUGAGGUAAAAGAUAUCUCCCAUUUCUAUGUGUUUUUUUUUUUGUUUCAACAACACGUACAACCUGAUUUCCCCCCUAAUCGAUAUCAGUGAUUUAUUGCUACUUGUCAAAACAACAGCAUUUAUGGUGCUUGUGCAAUUUAUAAGGUGCUUGUUUAAAAUAAAAAAUAGAAGUAAUAUGA